CCCUUAGAUGUUCUGGGCCGCACGCGCGCCACACUGACGAAGUCAGCGAGCAUCUCCUACGCCGAAAGGUGCGGGGAAUCUUGUGAAACUUUGUCGUGCUGGGGAUUGAUUUUUGAAAUUCUUGAUCAUCAACGAGGAAUUCCUAGUAAGCGCAAGUCAGCAGCUUGCGUUGAUUACGUCCCUGCCCUUUGUACACACCGCCCGUCGCUACUACCGAUUGAAUGGUUUAGUGAGAUUUUUGGACUGGAACUCUCUUGUUCAGCAAUGAACGAGAGGGACUCUGGGAAGCUAUUCUAACUGUAUCAUUUAGAGGAAGUAAAAGUCGUAACA
rnacentral:rRNA from 1 species